rnacentral:ncRNA from 1 species
GAAAAAGCAGUGACAGGAAGUAGUAGCUUGCUUUCAUUCCUUGCAGAGAGCCGGUGGCAGGUGAAAACCGGCGGGUGAAGCUAGUGAAUCCAUCCUUGAGCAGGAUGCGGAAAGCCAUAUGGCAAGUAAGCAUUCUCGGUGCAGGCCGUUAUCCUGUCAAGAGGGAAGCAUCACAUGCUUUCAAUCAGGGUGGCAACGCGGGUAACUCUCGUCCCUUUC